rnacentral:tRNA from 1 species
GCACCCGUAGCUCAAUGGAUAGAGCGUCUGACUUCGAAUCAAAAGGUUGCGCGUUCGAGUCGCGCCGGGUGCGCCA